rnacentral:tRNA from 1 species
AAUAGUAAAAUUUUUUUAAUAUUUUUAAUUUUCGAUUAAAAGAUUUAAUAAUAUUA